rnacentral:rRNA from 1 species
UACGAAGGGGGCUAGCGUUGCUCGGAAUCACUGGGCGUAAAGCGCACGUAGGCGGAUCGUUAAGUCGGGGGUGAAAUCCUGGAGCUCAACUCCAGAACUGCCCUCGAUACUGGCGAUCUUCGAGUCCGGGAGAGGUGAGUGGAACUCCGAGUGUAGAGGUGAAAUUCGUAGAUAUUCGGAAGAACACCAGUGGCGAAGGCGGCUCACUGGCCCGGUACUGACGCUGAGGUGCGAAAGCGUGGGGAGCAAACAGG